UUCCAAAUGUUGGCAGUAGACUAGCAAG
rnacentral:sRNA from 1 species